rnacentral:rRNA from 1 species
AUACGGAGGGUGCAAGCGUUAAUCGGAAUUACUGGGCGUAAAGCGUGCGUAGGCGGCUCGUUAAGUCAGAUGUGAAAGCCCCGGGCUCAACCUGGGAACUGCAUUUGAAACUGGCGAGCUAGAGUAUGGUAGAGGGGGGUAGAAUUUCUGGUGUAGCGGUGAAAUGCGUAGAUAUCAGAAGGAAUACCAGUGGCGAAGGCGGCCCCCUGGCCCAAUACUGACGCUGAGGUACGAAAGCCUGGGUAGCGAACGGGAUUAGAAACCCCAGUAGUCC